rnacentral:rRNA from 1 species
CAGCCAGACAGGUCCGUCGGGAAAUCCACUCGCUCAACGAGUGGGCGUCCGGCGGAAACCAGCUGGCUUGGGGUCGGAAGACCUGAGGGGUACGUCCGGGGUAGGAGUGAAAUCCCGUAAUCCUGGACGGACCACCGGUGGCGAAAGCGCCUCAGGAAGACGGACCCGACGGUGAGGGACGAAAGCUAGAGUCACGAACCGGAUUAGAUACCCGGGUAGUCCUAGCUGUAAACGAUGCUCGCUAGGUGUGGCGUUGGCUACGAGCCAGCGCUGUGCCGUAGGGAAGCCGAGAAGCGAGCCGCCUGGGAA